CAGCAUGAAGGGGGAUGAAGCUCUCUCACAAAACAUACCUAGGUUGAACUUUAAACCAAAAUAACUUUUGAUCCGGAGCUCCGAUUGACGAGCCGUUUGCGGCCACACGUUCGUCUCGGAGUCCUCUUCAAUUCUAUCUAAACAAAAAGGUGCAAUCUAACAUUGGAUAAUUGUUGGAUUAUACUUUAAUCAUCAAUGAAUAAGGUUGAACGGCUCCUCGGUAGGCGUUUGAAGGUUCUGCGGCGAAGUGGUUUAUUUUGGGAUCUUUCCUUGUUAUUUUGAUGUAUAUAUACGUAUAGUUUCUUCUCUUGUAUGUAAGAAUACUUUGUUUAUGUACCUCUUAGAGGUUUUAUGGAGAACUAGGGUUUUGAACAUGUUCUUUGGAGUUAUUAUUAUGUAUAUAUGUGUACGUAUAUGUUCUUCGGCCAGCUUUGGCUUCGCAGGCUGAGUCAGGAGCUAGUUAUGCUAUGUUAU